AGAGACGCGAUGAAUCAGAUCCUCCCAGACUGGUCUAUAAGCUCUCCUCAGACUCCAUCUGCCCCAGGGAAUCGCACAGCAUGAAUCUGGAUAGAUCACCCUUCGACUAACAUAGAAAGAAGUGCAGAAGCAGCAAGUUCUAUAAAACACGUUUGAUUGAAUGAUCAUCAAGGCAGAUCCAGAAUGAUGCACAAAUCUUGGAGUCCAUAAUUCCCCAAAAUUUGGAAUCGGGGGAGAUGGUAAAAAUUUCUCCUUUUUAGUUUUAUA